GGGUUGUGAGGUUAAGCGACUAAGCGUACACGGUGGAUGCCCUGGCAGUCAGAGGCGAUGAAGGGCGUGCUAAUCUGCGAUAAGCGCCGGUAAGGUGAUAUGAACCGUUAUAACCGGCGAUACCCGAAUGGGGAAACCCAGUGUGACUCGUCACACUAUCAUUAACUGAAUCCAUAGGUUAAUGAGGCGAACCGGGGGAACUGAAACAUCUAAGUACCCCGAGGAAAAGAAAUCAACCGAGAUUCCCCCAGUAGCGGCGAGCGAACGGGGAGGAGCCCAGAGCCUGAAUCAGCAUGUGUGUUAGUGGAAGCGUCUGGAAAGGCGCGCGAUACAGGGUGACAGCCCCGUACACAAAAGCGCAUGUGCUGUGAGCUCGAUGAGUAGGGCGGGACACGUGGUAUCCUGUCUGAAUAUGGGGGGACCAUCCUCCAAGGCUAAAUACUCCUGACUGACCGAUAGUGAACCAGUACCGUGAGGGAAAGGCGAAAAGAACCCCGGCGAGGGGAGUGAAAAAGAACCUGAAACCGUGUACGUACAAGCAGUGGGAGCCCCACCACCAAAGCAUUCUCUGGUGUUGAAGGCCCUGCAAAGCAGCAUCGCGGUGGCGGAGCGUCGUUUGCGACGCCCAACACACAAAACAAGCGGUGAGUGCUUUGGGGUGGGGUGACUGCGUACCUUUUGUAUAAUGGGUCAGCGACUUAUAUUCUGUAGCAAGGUUAACCGAAUAGGGGAGCCGGAGGGAAACCGAGUCUUAAUUGGGCGUUAAGUUGCAGGGUAUAGACCCGAAACCCGGUGAUCUAGCCAUGGGCAGGUUGAAGGUUGGGUAACACUAACUGGAGGACCGAACCGACUAAUGUUGAAAAAUUAGCGGAUGACCUGUGGCUGGGGGUGAAAGGCCAAUCAAACCGGGAGAUAGCUGGUUCUCCCCGAAAGCUAUUUAGGUAGCGCCUCGUGAACUCAUCUCCGGGGGUAGAGCACUGUUUCGGCUAGGGGGCCAUCCCGGCUUACCAACCCGAUGCAAACUGCGAAUACCGGAGAAUGUUAUCACGGGAGACACACGGCGGGUGCUAACGUCCGUCGUGAAGAGAUACCAAGGCGCUUGAGAGAACUCGGGUGAAGGAACUAGGCAAAAUGGUGCCGUAACUUCGGGAGAAGGCACGCUGACACGUAGGUGAAGUGAUUUACUCAUGGAGCUGAAGUCAGUCGAAGAUACCAGCUGGCUGCAACUGUUUAUUAAAAACACAGCACUGUGCAAACACGAAAGUGGACGUAUACGGUGUGACGCCUGCCCGGUGCCGGAAGGUUAAUUGAUGGGGUCAGCGCAAGCGAAGCUCCUGAUCGAAGCCCCGGUAAACGGCGGCCGUAACUAUAACGGUCCUAAGGUAGCGAAAUUCCUUGUCGGGUAAGUUCCGACCUGCACGAAUGGCGUAAUGAUGGCCAGGCUGUCUCCACCCGAGACUCAGUGAAAUUGAACUCGCUGUGAAGAUGCAGUGUACCCGCGGCAAGACGGAAAGACCCCGUGAACCUUUACUAUAGCUUGACACUGAACAUUGAGCCUUGAUGUGUAGGAUAGGUGGGAGGCUUUGAAGUGUGGACGCCAGUCUGCAUGGAGCCGACCUUGAAAUACCACCCUUUAAUGUUUGAUGUUCUAACGUGGACCCGUAAUCCGGGUUGCGGACAGUGUCUGGUGGGUAGUUUGACUGGGGCGGUCUCCUCCUAAAGAGUAACGGAGGAGCACGAAGGUUGGCUAAUCCUGGUCGGACAUCAGGAGGUUAGUGCAAUGGCAUAAGCCAGCUUGACUGCGAGCGUGACGGCGCGAGCAGGUGCGAAAGCAGGUCAUAGUGAUCCGGUGGUUCUGAAUGGAAGGGCCAUCGCUCAACGGAUAAAAGGUACUCCGGGGAUAACAGGCUGAUACCGCCCAAGAGUUCAUAUCGACGGCGGUGUUUGGCACCUCGAUGUCGGCUCAUCACAUCCUGGGGCUGAAGUAGGUCCCAAGGGUAUGGCUGUUCGCCAUUUAAAGUGGUACGCGAGCUGGGUUUAGAACGUCGUGAGACAGUUCGGUCCCUAUCUGCCGUGGGCGCUGGAGAACUGAGGGGGGCUGCUCCUAGUACGAGAGGACCGGAGUGGACGCAUCACUGGUGUUCGGGUUGUCAUGCCAAUGGCACUGCCCGGUAGCUAAAUGCGGAAGAGAUAAGUGCUGAAAGCAUCUAAGCACGAAACUUGCCCCGAGAUGAGUUCUCCCUGAGACUUAGAGUCUCCUGAAGGAACGUUGAAGACGACGACGUUGAUAGGCCGGGUGUGUAAGCGCAGCGAUGCGUUGAGCUAACCGGUACUAAUGAACCGUGAGGCUUAACCUUACAACGCCGAAGGUGUUU
rnacentral:rRNA from 1 species